UGUGUGGUCUUAUUGGCUCGAGCCGCCUCGUGCGAUGCGCGUCACGGCGCCGUGCGGUCGCGGGGGCGGGCAGACGCGGUGGCGGCGGUAGCGGCGGCGCGAGCUCUAUCCAGACACGGUAUCGCGGUGGAGACAGCUGCGGCGCCUACACCGUGUUGGGUCCCCUCCCUCCUCCAUUCCCCCUCCUCCCCUUCCCCCGCAGCGCUGGUUCUCUGGGAGUCCGAGACGUGUGGCGAGGCGGCGACAAGCUCCAGGAUCAACUUACUAUCCUGAAAAUCCAUUCCCCCAAGAAGAAGAGACAGAAAGAAAGACCGCUUUGUACGAAAGGCUUGGGAAUCCCAUGAACGAGCUAGCAGAAAACCGAUUGGGGUGCAGCAGGACUCCAGAGCCAGAUAUAAGGCUCAGAAAAGGGCACCCACUUGAUGGUACAAGAGGAGGUGAUAAUGACAACCACCAAGGAGAUUUGGAACCCAUUUUAGAAGCAACUGUUUGUUCUUCCCAUCAUAAAAAAGUAGGUAAAGUUGGAGUCGGAUGGUGAACAAAGCAAAAAUUAUUUAAGAUGUGGCAGGAGGAGGAUACUAAGAAGUGUAUGUAUGUGUGUGUUUGUCGCCAUUGUUGUAGAGGAUGGAGGAUGAGGUGUCAAUUUUUAAAAAAAAUUCAGAACAACUAAGUCUCUCAUUAGGUUAGGUGCUAUUGAUUUUAUGGUUAACCCCUUCCACUGACACUUAAAAUCAUACUUAAUCUGAUUUAUCUUGUUUUAUAGAGAAAAAAUUUGUUUCUGUAGUUAACUAUACAAUCUUUCUAAUAUGACUAUGCUUUAAUUGUAAUAUUAUCAGUGAAAUUCUAAUUGUAUACUGGAACUGUUUCUCUAGAAACUAUCUCCCGAGCAUACCUUGGGGGUCAGUAGAAUUCUAAGAGCAGAAAGUAGAUUUUAAUAUUUCCUUUCACUUCUCAGAGGAAACAGCAAAUUUUAAUCAGGCAACUUUAAUUAGCCAAAAGUAGAAAUAGGGCCAGUGAUUUAGUUCAGUGGUUCUUGCAAGCGCAAGGUCCUGAGUUUGAUACCCAGUACCAAAAAAAAAAAAAAAAAAAAAAAGUAGAAAUAUUUGUGAACUGCACCAGAUAGUUAUUGUUAGAGACAUUUUGCUGUCUGCUUUGGAACCCUUACAUUGACUAGCAUGUAUUCAUGUUGCGGUACUAGUAUAGUAUUUCUCAGAUUGGGUGUUGUGUCCCUGGUGGGUUGCAGUAUUAUAAUUCAUUAAAAAAAUUGAACAUGGGCUGAGGGUGUAGCUCAUUGGUACACUUGCUUAGCAUGUGCUAGGCCUUGGGUUCAAUCUGCAUGACUGGAAAACAGUAAAAACAGCCAGGUGUGAUGGUGUACACCUGUAAUCCCAGCUACUUGGAAGGCUGAGGCAGAAGGAUCUCAAGUUCAAGGCCAGCCCAGGUGACAUAGUGAGACCUUGUCUCAAAAUAGUAUGUAGCUGAGCACCCCCUGGGUACAGUCCCCAGUACUGCAAAGCAAAAAAGCCAGAGAGUUCAAAAUUGAACAGCAAAAUAGAAUGAAAAUAUUAAGGUGCAUAAUUACUGCCCAUUUAAACUAAGUUAAAGCUACAUUAAAUUUG
rnacentral:lncRNA from 1 species